ACCUUCCUAACCUCAUACCUUAUCUUCUUCUCGAACAAACGAUUCUUCUUUUUGACUCUGUAUCUCCAAACUCUAGCUUCUCUCUCACUUCUGCUGGUUACUCUCUUCUCUUCUAUUAUCCCCUGCAAUUACGAAGCAUUACAAUAAAAGUCUUUUAUAACACUUGGGGUUGAAUUUGUCCAUUAGAAAAUUAUGAUAAAAGAAUUCAAAAGAUUAGGGGAUCUUACCGGAGGAACUAGCUGGAAGUUACUUGUGUUGUUAAACUCAUUUUGGUUUCUUGUUGCUUCUCUUGGAGAUUCUUGUUUAUCCCAAGCUGCUAUAACAUUUUCAUAAUUCAGUCUAAGUAACAUGUUUCUCUGCCUUGUAUUACUCUCAUAAUCUUCAAUUACUUCUGUCUUGGCUGAAAUCGUAAUGGCAUUGUCAUAAUCUUUCUUGCAGCUCAUCAGAGAUUGUCCAGGACAUGCUUCAGCUCCAUUAGUUUUAGUUGCUGCUUCUUCAAUGUAAUAUAGAUCCUCCAUUGCAUCGAUUUCAUCUUCAAAGUUGAAUUGUUUCGUUGUUUCUUGAGUACCAUUGUGGUUGGUCAAGAAGAAGCCCAUCUCUGUGAAUCCUUCGAACUCUGGCACAAGAGAAGUCAUAUCAUCCUCAUCAUCAUUUGGUUCUGGUAUGAAAAACAUUGCUUCACCUCCAAUCUCGGGAACACGAGGGUCUUCUCUCCUUCUCUCAUCUUCUUUCUUUUCUUGUGUUUUUUUCUCAGACCGGGAUCUAGGUGUUCUUGCUUUUCUUCUGAACCCGCUGUGCCAAACCGGGUUUGAUGUUGUUCCUCCAAGCACAUCACUCGGUGUUCGAAGACAAA
rnacentral:lncRNA from 1 species